GGUGGAAGCUUUUUAUUCCCUACAAGAUAUACGCGAGUGUCAUAAAUUCACGUACGUCAGGAAGCGGACUGUGAGCCGAACUUAACGACUGAGGUGAACGUUACAACUUUACUGUAUUACGAAGUACUCGCGGUUAUCUUGUGCACGGAAAGGAUGUGAAGAAAAUUUUUUUUUGUUAAUUUUGCGAGAGGCACGCGAACGUGAUUCAUGACGUGGACUUUCGUCGACGGUCAAAGAUUCGGAUUUUUGCGAUAAAAUAAUUCAGCAAAAUCCAAUUUGCUACGAAGUGCAAAAAAAGCAAGUCGUCCGGCGGAAGACGUCGCUCGACGCGAAACGAUCGACUUUACGAAGCGGAAGUGCGUUUGCUCGUGUUAAUGACGGCACCCUUUGAAAACACGUCCUUUAAUUUGCAUCAUUCGCUACGCACGCAACAAAAUUUAUACGGAAUUAUAAUGUAGCCUCGUGAGCCCCGAGGCCCCAGAAGUUUACGCGUGUACAGGAGAAUUUCACGCGGACGAAUAUCAACCUCGUCCAAAAUUUCUGACAUAGCUUCCGAGUGGUCUACCAUCCCGAUAACCGGAGGGAAAGCGAAAAAUAAAAAUGGCUGAUUUUUUGUAACCUUGAAAGAAAAGUUAUACCUACACGUUGCGAGGAAUUCUGAGGGACAAAAAUCGAGAGACAACAAAAGAAUUAUACAAAAAAAAAGAAAAAAAACUACCACAGUAUUAACGAACGAUAUCUCUCUUCCCAAUUUCAUCAUAUGACAUUUAUUCAGUUGUUGAACGAGAACAAAAACAAAAAAUUAGUCGUCAGCUUCGAGAGCGUUGAUUUCUCUACGGUUCUUCCGAUAAUCUCCUAACAAUCGAUUCCCAAC